AACGAACGCUGGCGGCAUGCCUAACACAUGCAAGUCGAACGGGAUCUUCGGGUCUAGUGACGCACGGGUGCGUAACGCGUGGGAAUCUGCCCUUUGGUUCGGAAUAACAGUUGGAAACGACUGCUAAUACCGGAUGAUGACGAAAGUCCAAAGAUUUAUCGCCAGAGGAUGAGCCCGCGUAGGAUUAGCUAGUUGGUGUGGUAAAGGCGCACCAAGGCGACGAUCCUUAGCUGGUCUGAGAGGAUGAUCAGCCACACUGGGGCUGAGACACGGCGCAGACGACUUGGGGAGGCAGCAGGGGGGAACAUUGGACAAUGGGGGAAAGCCUGAUCAAGCCAUGCCGCGUGAGUGAUAAAGGCCUUAGGGUUGUAAAUCUCUUUUACCCGGGAUGAUAAUGACAGGACCGGGAGAAAAAGCUCCGGCUAUCUCCGUGCAGCCCGCCGCGGAAA
rnacentral:rRNA from 1 species